rnacentral:rRNA from 1 species
AUUGAACGCUGGCGGCAGGCCUAACACAUGCAAGUCGAACGCAGUUGCGAACGGGUGAGUAACGCGUAGGUAACUGCCUCAUAGCGGGGGAUAACUAUUGGAAACGAUAGCUAAUACCGCAUACUGUGAGAUGGACCUGCGUUGUAUUAGCUAGUUGGUGAGGUAAAGGCUCACCAAGGCGACGAUACACAGCCGACCUGAGAGGGUGGUCGGCCCCACUGGGACCGAGACACGGCCCAGACUUCCACGGGAGGCAGCAGGAGGGAAUCUUCGGCAAUGGACGGAAGUCUGACCGAGGAACUCCGCGGGAGUUAAGAAGGUUUUCGGAGCGUAAAGCUCUGUUGUUAGAGAAGCGGUAACUACACAGAAAGGGACGGCUAACUACGUGCCAGCAGCCGCGGUAAUUC